GAUGAACGCUGGCGGCGUGCCUAAUACAUGCAAGUCGAGCGAACAGAUGAGGAGCUUGCUCCUCUGACGUUAGCGGCGGACGGGUGAGUAACACGUGGAUAACCUACCUAUAAGACUGGGAUAACUUCGGGAAACCGGAGCUAAUACCGGAUAAUAUAUUGAACCGCAUGGUUCAAUAGUGAAAGACGGUUUUGCUGUCUCUUAUAGAUGUAUCCGCGCCGCAUUAGCUAGUUGGUAAGGUAACGGCUUACCAAGGCAACGAUGCGUAUCCGACAUGAGAGGGUGAUCGGCCACACUGGAACUGAGACACGGUCCAGACUCCUACGGGAGGCAGCAGUAGGGAAUCUUCCGCAAUGGGCGAAAGCCUGACGGAGCAACGCCGCGUGAGUGAUGAAGGUCUUCGGAUCGUAAAACUCUGUUAUUAGGGAAGAACAAAUGUGUAAGUAACUAUGCACGUCUUGACGGUACCUAAUCAGAAAGCCACGGCUAACUACGUG
rnacentral:rRNA from 1 species